UUAAGCGACUAAGCGUACACGGUGGAUGCCCUGGCAGUCAGAGGCGAUGAAGGACGUGCUAAUCUGCGAAAAGCGUCGGUAAGGUGAUAUGAACCGUUAUAACCGGCGAUGUCCGAAUGGGGAAACCCAGUGCAAUUCGUUGCACUAUCGUUAACUGAAUACAUAGGUUAACGAGGCGAACCGGGGGAACUGAAACAUCUAAGUACCCCGAGGAAAAGAAAUCAACCGAGAUUCCCCCAGUAGCGGCGAGCGAACGGGGAGCAGCCCAGAGUCUGAAUCAGCUUGUGUGUUAGUGGAACGGUCUGGAAAGUCCGACGGUACAGGGUGAUAGUCCCGUACACCAAAAUGCACAGGUUGUGAACUCGAAGAGUAGGGCGGGACACGUGGUAUCCUGUCUGAAUAUGGGGGGACCAUCCUCCAAGGCUAAAUACUCCUGACUGACCGAUAGUGAACCAGUACCGUGAGGGAAAGGCGAAAAGAACCCCGGCGAGGGGAGUGAAAAAGAACCUGAAACCGUGUACGUACAAGCAGUGGGAGCACCUUCGGGUGUGACUGCGUACCUUUUGUAUAAUGGGUCAGCGACUUAUAUUCUGUAGCAAGGUUAACCGUAUAGGGGAGCCGCAGGGAAACCGAGUCUUAACUGGGCGUUAAGUUGCAGGGUAUAGACCCGAAACCCGGUGAUCUAGCCAUGGGCAGGUUGAAGGUUGGGUAACACUAACUGGAGGACCGAACCGACUAAUGUUGAAAAAUUAGCGGAUGACUUGUGGCUGGGGGUGAAAGGCCAAUCAAACCGGGAGAUAGCUGGUUCUCCCCGAAAGCUAUUUAGGUAGCGCCUCGUGAAUUCAUCUUCGGGGGUAGAGCACUGUUUCGGCUAGGGGGUCAUCCCGACUUACCAACCCGAUGCAAACUACGAAUACCGAAGAAUGUUAUCACGGGAGACACACGGCGGGUGCUAACGUCCGUCGUGAAGAGGGAAACAACCCAGACCGCCAGCUAAGGUCCCAAAGUCAUGGUUAAGUGGGAAACGAUGUGGGAAGGCACAGACAGCCAGGAUGUUGGCUUAGAAGCAGCCAUCAUUUAAAGAAAGCGUAAUAGCUCACUGGUCGAGUCGGCCUGCGCGGAAGAUGUAACGGGGCUAAACCAUGCACCGAAGCUGCGGCAGCGACACUAUGUGUUGUUGGGUAGGGGAGCGUUCUGUAAGCCUGCGAAGGUGACCUGUGAGGGUUGCUGGAGGUAUCAGAAGUGCGAAUGCUGACAUAAGUAACGAUAAAGCGGGUGAAAAGCCCGCUCGCCGGAAGACCAAGGGUUCCUGUCCAACGUUAAUCGGGGCAGGGUGAGUCGACCCCUAAGGCGAGGCCGAAAGGCGUAGUCGAUGGGAAACAGGUUAAUAUUCCUGUACUUGGUGUUACUGCGAAGGGGGGACGGAGAAGGCUAUGUUAGCCGGGCGACGGUUGUCCCGGUUUAAGCAUGUAGGCUGGUUGUCCAGGCAAAUCCGGAUAAUCAAGGCUGAGGUGUGAUGACGAGGCACUACGGUGCUGAAGUAACAAAUGCCCUGCUUCCAGGAAAAGCCUCUAAGCAUCAGGUAACAUCAAAUCGUACCCCAAACCGACACAGGUGGUCAGGUAGAGAAUACCAAGGCGCUUGAGAGAACUCGGGUGAAGGAACUAGGCAAAAUGGUGCCGUAACUUCGGGAGAAGGCACGCUGGUGUGUAGGUGAAGUCCCUGCGGAUGGAGCUGAGACCAGUCGAAGAUACCAGCUGGCUGCAACUGUUUAUUAAAAACACAGCACUGUGCAAACACGAAAGUGGACGUAUACGGUGUGACGCCUGCCCGGUGCCGGAAGGUUAAUUGAUGGGGUUAUCCGUAAGGAGAAGCUCUUGAUCGAAGCCCCGGUAAACGGCGGCCGUAACUAUAACGGUCCUAAGGUAGCGAAAUUCCUUGUCGGGUAAGUUCCGACCUGCACGAAUGGCGUAAUGAUGGCCAGGCUGUCUCCACCCGAGACUCAGUGAAAUUGAACUCGCUGUGAAGAUGCAGUGUACCCGCGGCAAGACGGAAAGACCCCGUGAACCUUUACUAUAGCUUGACACUGAACAUUGAGCCUUGAUGUGUAGGAUAGGUGGGAGGCUUUGAAGCGUGGACGCCAGUCUGCGUGGAGCCAACCUUGAAAUACCACCCUUUAAUGUUUGAUGUUCUAACGUUGGCCCCUNCGGGGUUGCGGACAGUGUCUGGUGGGUAGUUUGACUGGGGCGGUCUCCUCCCAAAGCGUAACGGAGGAGCACGAAGGUUAGCUAAUCCUGGUCGGACAUCAGGAGGUUAGUGCAAUGGCAUAAGCUAGCUUGACUGCGAGCGUGACGGCGCGAGCAGGUGCGAAAGCAGGUCAUAGUGAUCCGGUGGUUCUGAAUGGAAGGGCCAUCGCUCAACGGAUAAAAGGUACUCCGGGGAUAACAGGCUGAUACCGCCCAAGAGUUCAUAUCGACGGCGGUGUUUGGCACCUCGAUGUCGGCUCAUCACAUCCUGGGGCUGAAGUAGGUCCCAAGGGUAUGGCUGUUCGCCAUUUAAAGUGGUACGCGAGCUGGGUUUAGAACGUCGUGAGACAGUUCGGUCCCUAUCUGCCGUGGGCGCUGGAGAAUUGAGGGGGGCUGCUCCUAGUACGAGAGGACCGGAGUGGACGCAUCACUGGUGUUCGGGUUGUCAUGCCAAUGGCACUGCCCGGUAGCUAAAUGCGGAAGAGAUAAGUGCUGAAAGCAUCUAAGCACGAAACUUGCCCCGAGAUGAGUUCUCCCUGAGACUUUAAGUCUCCUGAAGGAACGUUGAAGACGACGACGUUGAUAGGCCGGGUGUGUAAGCGCAGCGAUGCGUUGAGCUAACCGGUACUAAUGAACCGUGAGGCUUAACCUU
rnacentral:rRNA from 1 species